rnacentral:rRNA from 1 species
CACGUAGGGGGCGAGCGUUGUCCGGAAUCAUUGGGCGUAAAGAGCUCGUAGGCGGCUCAGUAAGUCGGGUGUGAAACCCCCAGGCUCAACCUGGGGACGCCACCCGAUACUGCUGUGGCUAGAGUCCAGUAGGGGAGUGUGGAAUUCCCGGUGUAGCGGUGAAAUGCGCAGAUAUCGGGAGGAACACCAGCGGCGAAGGCGGUUCUCUGGGCCUUACCUGACGCUGAGGAGCGAAAGCGUGGGGAGCGAACAGG